AGUUAAACGUUUCUUGUUGUGUGACUACAAAUUACCGCCGCCACUUUCGCAGUAAUUUGAAAAAGAAGUUGAUGAACACAAUCUUCUCUUGAGUGAAGGUCCACAAUGCGGGGCAGGCGUCGGAAAGGAGAAGCUCGCUUUGCCCUCCAAGCUUGAGUGGACGUGCUGUUUGUAGGCUGCGCUGAGUUUAUCAAACUCAGCACACAUUGAAAUGGGAUCGAGCUAUGAAUGAGGCCACCUCUGCUUCACAUUCAGCCGAGGACGAACAAUGUUUGCCCACGGGAAGUGACAACAGGCGAGUCAACAUUUUAUGUUUUGAUUUUUUCCACUCUGUAGUCAGUACAUUUGAACUGCUUGACCACCCCUCAAUUCAACUUUGGGCCAGCCAUCAAUGACCAUCAAUCAAUUUAAGUUUUUUGUCAUAGUAUGGUAUAGAUGGAUGAGUUCAGACAUGCAAAAAAAUCUACCUAGCAACAAGUGACUGUAAAAACUAAUGCCUUCAGCAGGAAAUACAACACAAGAUUGCUUAUACACGGAAUAAUUAAGAAAAUAAACACUGGAUCAUUAUUUUAAAGGCGUUGACAAAAUCAUCAUGCUCAGUGUGUAUGUGUGCGCAUCUGCGUGAAUGUUUGUGUGCGUGCAUCACCAAAUGUGUGAGUCAUGCAGCUGGGAGUUGCGUCGCAUCACUACGUUUGUACAAAUGCACACCCACGACCGCGCACAAGUGAAGUUCAUGUAAAGAAGAAAAAAAAAAAUGGAAUGAAGUGUCAUCAUUAAUUGGAACAAAUGCGGGAACUGAUAGAAGAGGAAGAGAAAGAUGUGGGCGGGCCCAGAUUCACUCAGCAUCCAGCUGUUAUAAUACAGUAGGCAUUGUCUCAAAUAAUUGAACAUACUGUACUGUAAUUUGAAAUAUGAGAAGUAUGUCUUACAAGGCCUAAUGAACAUGUAUUCAAACAUACAUUGAUUUUACAAAGUUUCACAAAUCUUUAAUACUGUAUUUACACAGCCUGCGAUAGGGCGGUUAAUGUUAAUUCUGAGUUUUUGUGUUUUUGAGGUAUUUAUAUUUACCUCCACAAAUAAAAGCAAGAUGAUUUGUGUGACUUACUACUUCAAAAUAGUUUCAGGGUGGUCACAAGCAUAGCAGAGGCAAGAGAACAUUGACACUGGGUUCACCUUCAUUUCAUUUCCAAAACUUGCAAGACGAUGAGCGAAUAUUUCAUUGUAUCUAUUCUUGUGAUACUUAUAAGACUUUUUUUUUUUUUUUUUUUUUACCCUCAACUUGAACAAUAACGCUCAUCCAGAUUUGCUACAUUCCAUCUCUGCUAUUCGUGUUCAAUCAUUGCCAGCCUUUUCCGUGUACUUUGACAAAAAGCCGGUGCGAAAACGGUCCACUGACUGUCUUCGUCUCAGGUCGAGAGCUUGGGCAUCAAACGGCUUUAUUCAGGUCAGCGGCCGGGCGCUCGGCCAUGUUGCUUUGGCAGCGGGAACAAACAAUCGCGAGCUUUGUCUUAACGUACAAAAAAACCCCGAACUCUGUGUAUGGAUCAUACAUUUCAUUUUGUUUUUCCCACUUUGUGGCAGUAAAACCAAAAACAACAGAAUAUAAUCCCUUCAUUUUCAUUGUUCAGCAAAGAUACAACAAAAUGGGGCGUUGCACUGUUUAAAAUUGCACUUUAUAAGAACAUACAAUAAUGACAUAACCAACUCAAAUGGAAAGAUCUAAACCCCUUUUGACACUUUUUGGAUUUAAUUCAAUGGUCAUUGCGCUUCUCCCUGCUUCUGCUGUGUGAACCUUAGGCCACCUGGAGGCAGUAUAAUCCAGCUCUUUCAGUUAAAACCCCAUCAAUUCAUAAAAAUGAUGUGUUGAGAAACAGUUCAAAGCAAUAUUUCCACAAUUAAGUCCGACAUGAUCCCACCUUUACACCCAAAAAAAUUGAGCUGAAAUUAUUUGCAUUGCAUUUAUUUGGAAACAACGCCCUGAAUUCACUUUACAGGUUUUUUUAUGAUGUUGAAAUUCAGUGCAUUUGUACUCCUAAACUCCUAUCUCUCCUAUUUAUUUCAGAAGAAAUGAUUAAUACGUGAAAUUGAAUGAAAUUAGAAACAUUGUUAUGGAUUUGCUCGGUAAUUUCCACGGACACACACACAACGCACACACAUGAUGGCCUGUUUUUUUUUUUUUUUGUUUAAACGUUGAAAUGAAAAGUUCUAAUGAUGAAUGGAGCAUCGCAGCAUGAAACAAAAAUUUAUGAAUCACUGAGUCUAAGUUGCAAAUUAGUGCAAAUUUGCUUUGUCUGUCCGCAUCUACUUGGGAUUUGGGGCUCAUUAAUACCGUCACAAUGAAAGUUUUAUACGUUUAAAAAUGAAUUUCAUGCGGUGAUAUAAGAUCUGUGUAUUUUUCUGGUUAUCCAAUUAGGAUCCAAAACUAAAUUAUCCAGCGAGGAAGACUAAUGAUGGUCUUUGCUGCAUAUUUAGGAGCCAAAAAUGAGAGCGGCGUCUCCUUGCCUGAUUAGCAUGACUUGAUUCCUUGAAUUCCGAACUCCAUCAAGUCAUUGACUCGCCGAUUUCAUUCAUUAGCGGCGUCUUACAAAUUUCAUCCGGUUACUUUGGGAGACAUUUGUUCGAUAAUAGGAUGAAAGUCAUCUUCGGUGUCACAGGUCCACAGUACAUUACCUUACAUUUCUUUAUUCCUGUUGGAAGGAAAUGAUGAGUGCUGAGGUCUCGAUGUCAUAUUACGCUUGACGAGCAGUUCAAAGUGACGAAUCGUGCGGUCUACUAUAUCUUACUAAAACUGAUUGGACCAGCAGUAUGUGAGUGAGUGUCCUAACGUGGUACAAGGCAGAAAAAUAGUAGGUUCACCGAUCAAGAAUUUAAUGACUUGAUUGCCAGAGGGGAAAAACUGUUCAGAUGCCUGCUACUUUUGACUUUCGGCGAUCUGUAGCGCUUUACCGACGGAAGGAGCUCAAAGAGCUGUAGGCCAGGAUGUAGAGGAUCCUAAAGAAUCCUGACCUGGUUCGCGUUGCGUGCAAGUCAUCGAUAGUGGGUAGCGUGGUGCCGACGAUCCGUUCAGCGGUUUUAAUUGUCCGUUGCAGUCCGAGUUUGUCCUUUUUUGUGGCGGCCCCAAACCAGACUGUGAUGGAGCUCCAGAGUACUGAUUGGAUUACCGCAGUGUAGAACUGUCUCAACGGGCCGUGCAAGUACAUCCUUUGCUGGGCUUUUUUGAGGAUGGAGUUGAUGUUCGUCCCCCACUUCAGGUCCUCUGAGACUGUAAUUCCCAAGAACUUGAAGGUCUCGACGGUUGACACAAGACAGUUGGUCAGCGUCAGGGCGAGCUGUGGUGAAGGAUGAGAGAGCAUUUGGACCCCGCCCUCCCCAUCCUCCAAAAAAAAAAACCUAGUUGCAAGUCUAUGGAGAGUUUCCGGGAUGGUUGCAGCGCUAACAAACGGCCCACUCUUUUAAUUUAUCCGAACUGGACUAAAGAGACGACAGCUAAUGAAUCAAAGAGCAAUUUAUAAGGUAGGGUUGUGGCAAGCGCAGCGACGCCUGAGGGAUUUUGUUGCCUUAACUGCCACGUAAUGAACGAGCCCACUAAAAAGCAUCUGUCUCACGGCAGCUCUGCCCUCUUGAUUUGUCCUCCAGCUGAAGCCGAAAUUAGUGGCGCAAAUAUUCACAAGACAAAUUACCAUUUUUUUUUUUUUUUCCUUCAGCUGAACCUGACGCCCAGUGGCUUCGAACACUUGUGUGCAUUAAUGUUUAUGUUCCUUUGUCCUCUCCAGCUCGCCUUUGUUCUCUAUGAUUUCUCCAUAAUCAGCCCUUUUAGCACCGUUUGAGACUCCACUUUGUCUAUUUGCAGAAAUGCGAUAGUUUACAUUUAUAAUUAUUUCAAUGAGGGCUCUCUCAGGCGUCUGUGUAAAUCUGCCUUGGAGGGUUUGAUAGCCCUCUUCAACUCGCCACUAAUUGGCUCUGUAUGGCACUUAGAGAAUGUACAGCCGGAGCCUGGUUUCGCGUAAUGUGUUGAAGUUUAGUCAUGGCCAAGGAGCCUGCUUGAAACCUGCUCCAACUGAAGGUAGAAGCACGGAGAAUACGCAUCACUCUCAUUGUAAUAUAAUGGUGUACAGUAUUCUUUUAUGCACAUUGGCAGUGUGGCUUUCUUACAUGUCAGGUCCAUUGCAAAAAGCCUUAAAAUGCUAUCAGUGUCUUGGUAAUUGUUAAAAAAAAUAAAGCAUUGUGCAAGAUGAUCGUUUCCUCGUGGAUCAAUGACAAACACAGGCGGAGGUUGGAUGGAGACUCAAAUCACCUGUUGUGUGACAUUUCAUCGUUCGUUUCCACUUGCAGGUGGUGUGUUUGUUGUAAUUUCUUUCUGUUUCAUUUGGAGGUUGCUGGAAUUUAGAGUGCUGCUGUUUAAGAGAGCCAACGCGUAGGCGGCGGGUAAAAAAAACAUCUCCCGGGCGUACUCAAACGGACCAACAAUCCCCAGUCAUCUCAUGAGGCCGUUUGCUGUCGCCUAGCCGUAACUCUUGAUGGGAUUGCUUACAUCAAAGCGCCGCAUUUGCUUGCUGGGGCUACGAUCCAUAAAGGAGGCUCGUCUCUCCUCUUUGAGAAAUGGCCUGGAGAUGUUGUGGCUAUCAGGCGAAGAAUAACAAUUCCAAGUGAAGCGACUAUCUGUCGGCGUUGGACACCUGGAAAGGGGGAGAUCCGGAACGUGUCUUUGGGAUUGGACCGCCGAGAUGCAAAUGGGUCCGACUAAUCGCUGCACUUACUGUGCGGCGAGAGCAGUUUGAAGAUGAUGUAAACUGCAGGUGCAGGAAAAAUGAACGAUUCGCGAAUGGAACCGCGGGGGCUUCCUGUUUGAAUGCUGCCAUUAUCAGUUACAAUAAUGUACGAAUGGCGAAUGUCGACCACAAUUGUUAAGCUGCUCAUAAACUGUGCCAAUCAAGCCCUAUUAUGAGCCUCAAUUGUUUUUUUUUU